UAGGACACGAUUGAGCGAUUUCACUUUCACUUUUCUACUGAACAGCAAAGUGAAUCGGCUCUAUGUAUAAUACAUCCCCUCUUCCUUUCUUUUUUUUAAACAGGAAAAAAUCAAGCAAAAAUUUAAUAAUCUAUACAAGGGAGAGACUCAGGAAAACUAAGUAUCUCUGGUCCUAUUCAGUCUUAAUGAGCUCAGCUCAACCUAGAUAACUGAUUCCAAGUUCCUGGAAAACAAUUCUGGUGAACACCUUGUUGUUAACACCAAGUGGCUUACUUGCCACUUGGACGAUAUGCAAGUCUUCAAACGACCUUGAUUAGUGAAGGCAGGUGAAAUGGAUUUGACUCGUGAUUACCCACUGCAUCACGAGGAGGCUUUAGAGGCAUCCAGGCAGGAGAUGAUGGUGGAAGCAAAGCAAGAGACGCAGAGCUGUUGGAAAUCUAUAUGGAGGGUCAGCAGAGUUUUCUGAUGGGGUCCCCACAUACUGCAGUACCACUGUAUCCUUGCAGCCAGGGCUCCUAACCUGGGAUCCAUGUGUCCCAGGAAAUUCCUGAAUGCACCUUGGGGAGUUCACACCCCUCUGAAAAGGUAUGAGGGAUGGUAUGUCUGAGUAUUGUCUUGGCGGGGGUGGGGGCCCAUAGUUUUCAUCAGGUUCUCAAAGGUGGUAGAAACCCCAACAGAUAGGAGAGGUGAUUGAAACUGGAGGAGGGACACGUUGGGGGGUUGUCGUGCCCUUUACUUUUCUGUUUGCUUGGAGGUUUGCAUAAUAAGCAGCUCAAAAUAUUGGUGUGCCUUCUGUGCAAGAAGAACAAAGAAGGAUUGUUGUGGCAAACCUUUUGAAAGGCACAUUGCUACAUUUUAUGGCUCACGGUCAGUCUGUUCUAAGAUUUCCAAGGUAUUCUCAGAUGGCCACAGCCCCCUUCCUCCCCUAUGUGGCUUUGGUGGCCACUUUGUUUCUCCUUCAAGGGGACCACCUUCUGCUGAAUUUCAUUUUCUGAAUUUCACAGAAUAUAUUAAAAUUCCUUGAAACAAAGAGCUGGGGUGCUGGGGUUUAAGGGCCCUGACUUGAAAACACUUCUCAGGUGACCCUGAGAAAUAACAAAAACCCUGAGCCUCAAAUUCUUCUAUGUGAAAGAGGACUUAUAUUUGCUCAUUGGGUGAUUGGUGAUAAAAAAGAAGAUCUGGGUAAAACACAUAUCCCAGCCCUGUGUGACUAAACAGGAGCUUGGCGCUGCUGUCCUUUUCAAGUUGUAGAAGAAUCACGCAAAAUUGGUGAGCACAGCGUCUUCUUUGCAUCAUUCAACUGGUCAAGGAUGUUGGAUUUUUUAUUCACAACCAGAGCAACACCCCUUCCUAAGGGUCAAAUUGUCUGGACUCCCUCAUCCAAGCCUUCCUUCCUGGGCCUCAGAAGCAGCUUUGUUGGAAAUGGUGGGCUGCCUGGCUCCUGUCAAAACUGAACUCCUGACCCAUGGAGGCUUUGUGACUCUUCAACCUGAUAUUGCCAUUAGGUCAACUUGACUUCCAUGACUAUUAAGGUGGGAUGGGUCCAAUAAGCUUCACUUGUCGAAAGGAAAUGGUAUAUUCAAGAAAGUAGCCUGCCUGGCCCAAACAGGAUCUCAACAUUAAAUGAAAUAGUGACAGCUAUCCUUUUAGGAGAUAAUUUAUCGCCCACUCUGUUUCUGGAAAUAAAGCUAAUGGGACCCUUGACUCACAGAAGUUCCCUGAAUGCCUGGGCCUGGUUCACUGAUGGUUCGAACUGAAGCUCAGUGGUGUCUACUGGGAUGCUGCAGCUGUUCAACGUCACCACCAGCCAUACAGAACCAAAUAUGAAGAUGGCUCCACUUGGUGGGGCAGAACUCAAGGCCAUUCUCAUAGCUCUGACCAAUAUUCCCUUUGAUGGACCUUGUUCUGUUUUCACUGACUUCUUGGCUAUUGCCAAUGGCCUAGUUGCCUGGUCUGCCACUUGGAAAACAAUAGAUCAAAGACAUCCCUCUUUGUGGCCAUAUAUUGUGGAAGCAAAUCAUGACUUCUGAUCAGACCAUCUAGGUCACUUUUAUCAAUGCCCAUGGAAAGGCCAGAUGAGACCAUCUGAAAAUCAAGCUGCGAAUCAAGGCCACACUGCCCAGAUGAUCACCACUGCAGUUUAGAUCAGACAUGGCAACACAUCUACCCUCACAGAUUGCAUACAGAAUAAACAUCUGCUUCUAUGGCAGAGGCUGCCACUUCCCGCCAGUCUCAUGACGCUUGUCAAAAGCUGACCCAUUUGUCUCACAAUGAAAGAGGCUAUAUUACAUGAGGCACUGACUCCAUCUGGUCCCAGAAGAUUUACAUUGGACCUUUGACAACCCCCCCCACCCCAGGUCUAUCAGUGGGGACUCACUGAUGUUGACACUUUUUUAGGCUACUGUCCUGCAGUUCCAGUCUGAUCAGCUGAGUCCAAACCAAUCACUGUGGCCCUUGAAGCUAACCUGUGUCAUGUGAUCAGCUCCCCAGAUAUUUGCAGGCUGACAAUAAUGCCCCUUUUGUGGAUAAAGCCACAUACAAUGGGCUGAUUGUCAAGGUAUUCCAUUAUACCCCCAUGCUUCUGUCACCCACGGGCAUCUGGUCGAGUUUAACCAGCCUCCUAAAAAUCAACUUUAAAAGGUUUCUGACUCUAUUUCCCUCACCUCUUCCUGGUCUGUACACCUUUGUAAGGCAGUUUGCCCCCAAAAGGGGAUCAUCCAGUUGCUUCUUAGGUGUGUGUGUGCUCAGUCGUGUCCGGCUCUUUGUGACCCCACGGACUGUAGCCCACCAGGCUCCUCUGUCCCUGGGA